CCAGUUGUUCUGCCAAGGGCAUGGCUGGGUAGCUAUGUACGGAAUGGAUAAGCGCUGAAAGCAUCUAAGCGCGAAGCCAACUUCAAGAUAAGAUUUCCCACCGCAAGGGUAAGACCCCAGAAAGACUAUCUGGUUGAUAGGUCGAAGGUGUAAGUGCAGCAAUGUAUUUAGCUUAUCGAUACUAAUAGGUCGAGGACUUGACCAA
rnacentral:rRNA from 1 species